GGACAGUUGUCACAGCAGGUUGGCUCCAGUAACCAAACGGUGUGUGGGCAGGUGCUGGGCAGGCAGACUCCACACCGGCAGCAUCUGUCAGAGGAGCAGAUGGUGGUAGCAGGGCCAGUGCGGACACUGCAGCAGCGGGGAGCACAGCAAGACAUGGUGUCAGGAGUUGGGUUUUUGUUGGGUUGAGAAGAGAA